AACUUGGGACUUUGAGGGUGCUAUCUUUCUUUUGUUUUUUUUUUUUUUGAUUUUGCUUUUGAUUUUGCUUUCUUUUGAUUUCUUUUGAUUUUGCACCCUCCUCUUUCUUUUUUUCUUUUUUUUUUUUGAUAAUGCCCUAGUUGGCUGUUCUGCUGAUUCUCGAGAUGCAGCUGAGUGUGAUCUUCUUUUCUUGCUCAAGAAGUCGGGAAAUACCGUCAGGAAUCCCUUCAACAUCAUCUUCGUCCGCUUCGAAUACAGGAAAUUC
rnacentral:lncRNA from 1 species